CUGGCCGUAGCGUAAUGGUAUCGCAACAGACUGUAAAUCUGUAGAAUGUCGGUUCAAGUCCGACCGGUCAGA
rnacentral:tRNA from 1 species